rnacentral:rRNA from 1 species
GACGAACGCUGGCGGCGUGCUUAACACAUGCAAGUCGAACGGAAAGGCCCUGCUUUUUUGGGGUGCUCGAGUGGCGAACGGGUGAGUAACACGUGAGUAACCUGCCCUUCACUUUGGUAUAACUUCAGGAAACUGGGGCUAAUACCGGAUAGGAUCUCCUGCUGCAUUGUGGGGGUUGGAAAGUUUCGGCGGGUGGGGAUGGACUCGCGGCUUAUCAGCUUGUUGGUGGGGUAGUGGCUUACCAAGGCUUUGACGGGUAGCCGGCCUGAGAGGGUGACCGGCCACAUUGGGACUGAGAUACGGACCAGACUCCUACGGGAGGCAGCAGUGGGGAAUAUUGCACAAUGGGAGGAAGCCUGAUGCAGCAACGCCGCGUGCGGGAUGACGGCCUUCGGGUUGUAAACCGCUUUCGCCUGUGACGAAGCGUGAGUGACGGUAAUGGGUAAAGAAGCACCGGCUAACUACGUG